GGACUACCAGGGUUUCUAAUCCUGUUUGCUCCCCACGCUCUCGCGCCUCAGCGUCAGUGUCAGUCCAGGUAGCCGCCUUCGCCACUGGUGUUCCUUCCGAUAUCUACGCAUUUCACCGCUACACCGGAAAUUCCACUACCCUCUACUGCACUCCAGUCUACCAGUCUAAGAUGCAGUUCCCAGGUUAAGCCCAGGGAUUUCACAUCUUACUUAAUAAACCGCCUACGCGCCCUUUACGCCCAGUAAUUCCGAUUAACGCUCGCACCCUCUGUAUUACCGCGGCUGCUGGCAC
rnacentral:rRNA from 1 species